GAAGAGAGUGAUCUUAAGCGGUGGUACCGUCCUGUGAACCAAUUCCUACAAGACGAGUUCUUAACUCUUAGCACAUAUCAUGGAUAACAAAAACCGUUGUCUACUUGGGAUCUCUAGGUCAACCUAUUCCCGGACUUACAACGCAAAAGAACUAGGGAUUAUGCAUUUUACAUACGUUACUUAUCUUGAUGCCUUAUCUAGGUUAACUCACUCAUUUUCAUGAAAACUUUCACAAAACAUAUCCCAAACUCGUCAUGCACAUAUACAUAAUAUUUCAUGAAACAUCCUUUAAAACCAAUUUCAAACUUAGAAAAUAAUUCAACAACUUGAGCUCUUAAGGGGCUGUUUUGAACAGACACCAAUUCUGCCUCGGAUCUCUAAAUGAGGCUCAAAGGACAUUCUGGAAACUAGACAUUUCAAGGAACUUCUCCAAUUUGAAUCGAAUGAAACAGAGUUCAAACGAGCAAGAUAUGCCCACUCAAAGAUGGGUACUUAACAAGCAAAAAUCUGAAAUUUCAGAUUUCCAGAUUAGAACCAAGUCAAUGGGCCUUCUUUAAAAAUUCAUAUUCCCAUUACAAAAGGCCACUGGGAACUCCAAGGGUCAAUCUGAAAACUAGGGAGAGAGUGUGACACUCUCCAGUUGAAUUUACCCCAAGAAGAUUACAUGGUUUAGGAGAUAUUAACAUCCAAAGUUCAGUGCACAAAAAGAGUUCAAGUUCGGCAGAUUCAAAGUUUAAUUCAGAAAAACCACUUUAGGCUUUACCAAAAAUUCUACAAAUGAACAAAUAAGUUCCCAACAUGUCAAUGGAUAUUCAAUAUAAAAAUGGGCUUGAGAAUCAAAGAUUUAGGUUGGCCUUUGCCACCUCAAAGUCGUAGGUUUGUAAAACCUACUGGAGGAUACACAGAAUAAGAACUAGACUUCAAAAAUAGUGAGGCCAGUUUCAAACGAAAGAUAAGGGAGUCUAGAGUAUCAUAUUAAUGUUUCAAAGGGUUUCACCGAUCGAAACUUAACUUAUGGCCUCCCAAAGAGUAUUUACCAAAAAUGUAUUCCAGAUGGGCAGUGAUGUUUUAAAAAUUCAUAAAUAAAUCAUAAGAGCUCCAAAUCUUCUAAAAUUUUAUCAAAGUUCAGAAAACAUAGGAACGAUGAUACACAAUUAAUUUGGGGAUUUUUGGGGACCGUUUGGAUGGCUGGAAUCGCCUUGCAAAACAUUGCCGGAGCAGUGUGCUUAAUUAUGGCAGAUUCACUGCCUUACCUCAUGCACGGCUUUUCACCCAAUAAACUCUACCAAAAUAAACAUCCAAGACCAUAAAACAUAUCCUCACAUAAUAUAUCACACAUAGGUGUAAAAAUCCAUGGUCUUAAAGUAUUUUCAGUUGAGAAAACAAAAGAAAACUCACCCUCGAAGCACAAACUUCACCCCAACUUUACGCCCUAGGUUUCCCACGCUCUCCCUUGCUUUGAUACUUCUCUUGGGGCUUCAAGGGCUUCUAUGGAGUGUGAUAAUGGUGGGAGAAGAGUCUUGGGAGUGGGGGAGAUGUGUAGGGACGAAAAUGGAGAGGGGAGAAGAGAGUGAGAGCACCUUCUUGCCUUAGCACUUUCUUG
rnacentral:lncRNA from 1 species